rnacentral:rRNA from 1 species
UGGGCCCGAGUUUGAUCAUGGCUCAGAUUGAACGCUGGCGGCAUGCCUUACACAUGCAAGUCGAACGGCAGCGCGGGGCAACCUGGCGGCGAGUGGCGAACGGGUGAGUAAUAUAUCGGAACGUACCCUGGAGUGGGGGAUAACGUAGCGAAAGUUACGCUAAUACCGCAUACGAUCUAAGGAUGAAAGUGGGGGAUCGCAAGACCUCAUGCUCCUGGAGCGGCCGAUAUCUGAUUAGCUAGUUGGUGGGGUAAAGGCCUACCAAGGCAUCGAUCAGUAGCUGGUCUGAGAGGACGACCAGCCACACUGGAACUGAGACACGGUCCAGACUCCUACGGGAGGCAGCAGUGGGGAAUUUUGGACAAUGGGCGCAAGCCUGAUCCAGCAAUGCCGCGUGAGUGAAGAAGGCCUUCGGGUUGUAAAGCUCUUUUGUCAGGGAAGAAACGGUGAGGGCUAAUAUCCUUUGCUAAUGACGGUACCUGAAGAAUAAGCACCGGCUAACUACGUGCCAGCAGCCGCGGUUA